rnacentral:rRNA from 1 species
ACGGGUGAGUAACACGUGAGGAACCUGCCCCGAAGACUGGGAUAACGCUCCGAAAGGAACGCUAGUACCGGAUACCUUCACCAGACCGCAUGAUCCGGUGAAGAAAUGGAUUCCGCUUCGGGAGGGCCUCGCGGCCUAUCAGCUUGUUGCUGGGGUAAUGGCCCACCAAGGCUUCGACGGGUAGCUGGUCUGAGAGGACGAUCAGCCACACUGGGACUGAGACACGGCCCAGACUCCUACGGGAGGCAGCAGUGGGGAAUCUUGCGCAAUGGGCGAAAGCCUGACGCAGCAACGCCGCGUGGGGGAUGAAGGCUCUCGGGUCGUAAACCCCUUUCAGCAGGGACGAAUCUGACGGUACCUGCAGAAGAAGCCCCGGCCAACUACGUGCCAGCAGCCGCGGUAACACGUAGGGGGCAAGCGUUGUCCGGAUUUAUUGGGCGUAAAGAGCUCGUAGGUGGUUCGGUAAGUCAGGUGUGAAACCUCCAGGCUCAACCUGGAGACGCCACUUGAUACUGCUGUGACUGGAGUCCGGUAGGGGAGCGUGGAAUUCCUGGUGUAGCGGUGAAAUGCGCAGA